UUUGAUCCUGGCUCAGGAUGAACGCUGGCGGCGUGCUUAACACAUGCAAGUCGAACGAAGCGCCUGCUUUGAAUUCCUUCGGGAAGGAGAGGCUUGCGACUGAGUGGCGGACGGGUGAGUAACGCGUGGGCAACCUGCCCCGCACUGGGGGACAACAGCUGGAAACGGCUGCUAAUACCGCAUAAGCGCACAGCUUCGCAUGAAGCGGUGUGAAAAACUCCGGUGGUGCGGGAUGGGCCCGCGUCUGAUUAGCUGGUUGGCGGGGUAACGGCCCACCAAGGCAACGAUCAGUAGCCGGCCUGAGAGGGUAGACGGCCACAUUGGGACUGAGACACGGCCCAGACUCCUACGGGAGGCAGCAGUGGGGAAUAUUGCACAAUGGGGGAAACCCUGAUGCAGCGACGCCGCGUGAGCGAAGAAGUAUUUCGGUAUGUAAAGCUCUAUCAGCAGGAAAGAAAAUGACGGUACCUGACUAAGAAGCUCCGGCUAAAUACGUG
rnacentral:rRNA from 1 species